UACAGAGGUCCCAAGCGUUGUUCGGAUUCACUGGGCGUAAAGGGUGCGUAGGUGGCGAGGUAAGUUUGAUGUGAAAUCUCCGGGCUUAACCCGGAAAUGGCAUUGAAUACUAUCUGGCUCGAGGGUUGGAGGGGGGACUGGAAUUCUCGGUGUAGCAGUGAAAUGCGUAGAUAUCGAGAGGAACACCGGUGGCGAAGGCGAGUCCCCGGACAACACCUGACACUGAGGCACGAAAGCUAGGGGAGCAAACAGG
rnacentral:rRNA from 1 species